rnacentral:rRNA from 1 species
CCUACGGGUGGCAGCAGUAGGGAAUCUUCCACAAUGGACGAAAGUCUGAUGGAGCAACGCCGCGUGAGUGAAGAAGGGUUUCGGCUCGUAAAGCUCUGUUGGUAGUGAAGAAAGAUAGAGGUGGUCACUGGCCAUUAUUUGACGGUAAUUACUUAGAAAGUCACGGAUAACUACGUGCCAGCCGCCGCGGUAAUACGUAGGUGGCAAGCUUUGUCCGGAUUUUUUGGGCGUAAAGCGAGUGCAGGCGGGUCAAUAAGUCUGCUGUGAAAGCCUUCGGGUCAACCGGAGAAUUGCAUCAGAAACUGUUUAACUUGAGUGCAGAAGAGGAGAGUGGAACUCCAUGUGUAGCGGUGGAAUGCGUAGAUAUAAGGAAGAACACCAGUGGCGAAGGCGGCUCUCUGGUCUGCAACUGACGCUGAGGCUCGAAAGCAUGGGUAGCGAACAGGAUUAGAUACCCGUGUAGUC